GUGUAGUUGUAUUUGAUGAUGCCACAACCUAGAAGAAAAAAAGUGGACUGAGGCAGAAGAAAGAACUCUGAUUGAUAAGUAUGGUGAGAUGUUAUGUGAUGGGACUUUAGCUAAAAUGAAAACUAGGGAAAAGAAGUAUAGACCUAUAGCUUUACAUGUGAAUUCUGUGCACAAUGUUCGUGAUCCGAUCACGUAUCCAUGGCAAUGGACUUGGAAGGAUGUGUCUACUAAAGUGCAGAACAUGAGGCAUCAGUAUACACUGGUGAAGCAGAAGAUUAAGAAGCCAAACUCUGGGGAGGAGUCGGGUGCUGGGGAGGAGUUCGAUUGGAUGGAGGGGCUGACUCAUUGGUCGAACUUUUUAAGGUAUAAAGAAGUGUUUGGGGAUGUCAAUACACUUGUCUUCAAUUGUAGCGACUCCAUGGCUGUUGUAGGAGAUGGAAAUGAAAAUAGUGGGGGAUUUGAUGGGAGUGGUAAUGGUAUGGGGAUUGAUCAAUUUGGGCAUCUAGGUCAUGCUGGGGACGGUGAUUUUAAUGGAGUUAUUAAUGGGAUUGAUCAUGGUGUUACAGGUAUGGAGUUUGAUUAUGAUGGAGAAGAAGGAGAGGAGAAUUUCAAUGGUAGUAUCAGGAGGAAUAAUCAUUUGAAGGAAGAUGCGGAUAGUGGAUUUGUUUACGAAGACAUCGAGCCAACUGGAUCUGAUACGAGA
rnacentral:misc_RNA from 1 species